rnacentral:rRNA from 1 species
AUUGAACGCUGGCGGCAGGCCUAACACAUGCAAGUCGAACGAGUGGCGGACGGGUGAGUAAUGUCUGGGAAACUGCCUGAUGGAGGGGGAUAACUACUGGAAACGGUAGCUAAUACCGCAUACCAUCGGAUGUGCCCAGAUGGGAUUAGCUAGUAGGUGGGGUAACGGCUCACCUAGGCGACGAUCCCUAGCUGGUCUGAGAGGAUGACCAGCCACACUGGAAAUGGGGCACGGUCCAGACUCCAACGGGAGGCAGCAGUGGGGAAUAUUGCACAAUGGGCGAAAGCCUGAUGCAGCCAUGCCGCGUGUAUGAAGAAGGCCGUCGGGUUGUAAAGUACGUUCAGCGGGGAGGCGUUACCCGCAGAAGAAGCACCGGCUAACUACGUGCCAGCAGCCGCGGUAAUUC